GGAAAGGCGCGCGAUACAGGGUGACAGCCCCGUACACAAAAAUGCACAUGCUGUGAGCUCGAUGAGUAGGGCGGGACACGUGGUAUCCUGUCUGAAUAUGGGGGGACCAUCCUCCAAGGCUAAAUACUCCUGACUGACCGAUAGUGAACCAGUACCGUGAGGGAAAGGCGAAAAGAACCCCGGCGAGGGGAGUGAAAAAGAACCUGAAACCGUGUACGUACAAGCAGUGGGAGCACGCUUAGGCGUGUGACUGCGUACCUUUUGUAUAAUGGGUCAGCGACUUAUAUUCUGUAGCAAGGUUAACCGAAUAGGGGAGCCGAAGGGAAACCGAGUCUUAACUGGGCGUUAAGUUGCAGGGUAUAGACCCGAAACCCGGUGAUCUAGCCAUGGGCAGGUUGAAGGUUGGGUAACACUAACUGGAGGACCGAACCGACUAAUGUUGAAAAAUUAGCGGAUGACUUGUGGCUGGGGGUGAAAGGCCAAUCAAACCGGGAGAUAGCUGGUUCUCCCCGAAAGCUAUUUAGGUAGCGCCUCGUGAAUUCAUCUC
rnacentral:rRNA from 1 species